AUGAUUGAGCAUAGAACACGUGGAGAGGACGAUCUGCACCUAGGAACGAGUGAGCAUCAACUGCAAGGGACAUGUAUGCAGCCUGAGGUGGGUCCAGGGGAUAAUGCAACAGUUGUGGACAAAGGCGACAAACACAUCGGGAUGACUUCCCAGGUGGAUCUGGAACUGAAUGCGAGUGUACCUGCCAAGCAUCUCUGCGACCAAGAGGGUGGCGCUGCUUCCGAGGCCGCUGGUGGGCUCAGCACGGAAAUCCUUGGCGAGACAAGGCGCAAUGUGCUGGCCUCUGCCGAGGAAUCUCAGCAGCUACCAAUUGAGGGCGAGCGCGUGUUGGCUUGCGAUUCGCUGCAUGGCGCACUGCAUGGCGCUCUGGAUGUGACUACGUCCCGAGCGGCUACAAGCGAUUUGCACAGGGGAGUGGACGUUCUGGAGAGCAGACCAUGCACAGAAAUGGCCUUGUAUGAGAGGGAGAUACUCUCAGAAGUGCAUGACUCAGUCCAACAAGGAAUGACAACAUCAGAGGCGAUUGCUUUCGCUAAGCUGAAGGCCUUCUGCUCAUGUAUUGUCAAGAAGCUGGCUCCCCCACUACUGAAGGAAAUUCAGGCCUCAACCCUACACCCGGCUUUUGAGCCAUGCACGCCUAGGCGCACCACUCGAGCCACGAAGCGCAUCGCGGGGAUAGGAGUUUCCAACGCAUCGCCUGCUGAAAAUGUUCUUCUUCGGACGCUAGGAAUUGCGGCAGAGGAUCUCACGGUUGACGAUCGAGCAGUGGAAGAGCUCAAGGGGCUGUUUGACUCGCCUUUACGCGAGCAACACAUCCGAGUGAUUGCAGCUCUGUUUGGCAAGACCCUGCCUCUCGGAGGGGCCCUUGCCCCGCAAGACUCGGUGGCUGUGAGCGCACAGUAG
rnacentral:rRNA from 1 species